AGGAGAGUGGUGCAGUGAAAGUGUGCUGGGCCAAUAAUCCAGAGGCCCGUGGAACGAAACCACGCUCUGCUA